rnacentral:rRNA from 1 species
ACGAACGCUGGCGGCGUGCUUAACCCAUGCAAGUCGAACGGAAAGGCCCUGCUUUUGUGGGGUGCUCGAGUGGCGAACGGGUGAGUAACACGUGAGUAACCUGCCCUUGACUUUGGGAUAACUUCAGGAAACUGGGGCUAAUACCGGAUAGGAGCUCCUGCUGCAUGGUGGGGGUUGGAAAGUUUCGGCGGUUGGGGAUGGACUCGCGGCUUAUCAGCUUGUUGGUGGGGUAGUGGCUUACCAAGGCUUUGACGGGUAGCCGGCCUGAGAGGGUGACCGGCCACAUUGGGACUGAGCUACGGCCCAGACUCCUACGGGAGGCAGCAGUGGGGAAUAUUGCACAAUGGGCGGAAGCCUGAUGCAGCAACGCCGCGUGCGGGAUGACGGCCUUCGGGUUGUAAACCGCUUUCGCCUGUGACGAAGCGUGAGUGACGGUAAUGGGUAAAGAAGCACCGGCUAACUACGUG